rnacentral:rRNA from 1 species
UUUAUACGGGAAGAAACAGUACUUCGUGAAGUAGCUUGACGGUACUGUAAGAAUAAAGAUCGGCUAACUCCGUGCCAGCAGCCGCGGUAAUACGGAGGAUCCAAGCGUUAUCCGGAAUCAUUGGGUUUAAAGGGUCCGUAGGCGGUUUGGUAAGUCAGUGGUGAAAGCCCAUCGCUCAACGGUGGAACGGCCAUUGAUACUGCCGGACUUGAAUUAUUAGGAAGUAACUAGAAUAUGUAGUGUAGCGGUGAAAUGCUUAUAGAUUACAUGGAAUACCAAUUGCGAAGGCAGGUUACUACUAAUUGAUUGACGCUGAUGGACGAAAGCGUGGGGAGCGAACAGGAUUAGAUACCCUGGUA